rnacentral:ribozyme from 1 species
UGUUUUCCUUGUUUUUCCCUCUUGUUUUUUUUUUUUUCUUCGUCAUAUUCUCUACCUCAGCAACCAACAGAACAAACGAAAGAAA